UACGUAGGGUCCAAGCGUUAUCCGGAAUCACUGGGCGUAAAGCGUUUGUAGGCGGUUUGUUAUGCCGGCUGUGAAAGCCCGCGGCUCAACCGCGGAAGUGCAGUCGGAACUGACAGGCUAGAGUGCUGAAGAGGAUGGCGGAAUGCCCAGUGUAGAGGUGAAAUUCGUAGAUAUUGGGCAGAACACCGGUGGCGAAGGCGGCCAUCUGGGAAGUUACUGACACUGAGGCGCGAAAGCGUGGGGAGCGAUCCGG
rnacentral:rRNA from 1 species